rnacentral:sRNA from 1 species
GGAUAAAGAGCCACUAUCCAGCUCCACUGAUGGACAUUCUCUGGGUAGGAGAAUGUGUCACUAGGCUGUUGUGUAUGCUGUAGUGGGAAUCUGGCUGGCUGAACACGUCUCCUCAUGUUCCACGUGCGUUGCUACUGAAGGUGCAUGUUCAGUGGAAGCCUACAUUCAUAUUAUAGGACAAUUCUUUGAGUAAGAGUGUAAAAGUAACUUUCCUCCUUUAUCAGAACGUCCAAACAUUCUCUACAAGUUUUUUUUAUUUUUUAAGAGAAUGUUGCCCCAAAGAGAUGUAUGUACCCAAUCAGGCUGUCUCUGUGGCAAUGGAAAUACAAGAAGUCUCUUUCUGGAUCU